GACGAACGCUGGCGGCGUGCCUAACACAUGCAAGUCGAGCGGAGUCGAUCGACGGAAGCCUUCGGGCGGAAGAUGGUUGACUUAGCGGCGGACGGGUGAGUAACGCGUAGGUAACCUGCCCCAUACUGAGGGAUAGCCUCGGGGAAACCGGGAUUAAUACCUCAUAACACCGUAUAUUCGCAUGGAUGUGCGGUCAAAGAUUUAUCGGUAUGGGAUGGGCCUGCGUCUGAUUAGCUGGUUGGUGGGGUAACGGCCUACCAAGGCGACGAUCAGUAGCCGACCUGAGAGGGUGAUCGGCCACAUUGGAACUGAGACACGGUCCAAACUCCUACGGGAGGCAGCAGUGGGGAAUAUUGCACAAUGGGCGAAAGCCUGAUGCAGCAACGCCGCGUGAGCGAAGAAGGCCUUUGGGUCGUAAAGCUCUGUCGGGUAGGAAGAUAAUGACGGUACUACCCGAGGAAGCCCCGGCUAACUACGUG
rnacentral:rRNA from 1 species